AUUAGUGUUGUGAGAGCAGUCGAACAAGAUGAAAGGUUUUGUGCUAUUCCUGGUUAUCGUGCUCCUUGCGUACACCUACGCUGCCCCACAGGGAGCUGCUAACUACGCCAAUGUCCAGGCGCAUUCCGGCAGUGCUGCUUCAGGAGUCGUGUCAGGCUCAACCUUUGGAAAUGGCGCGUUUAGUGCAGGUGGUCCUAGAAGAAUAUGUGGACUUUUCGAAGCGCUGUUUACAGGUUGCUGAAAAUGUCAGUAAGGACUCUUUAUUCAAUUGAAGAUAACAACAAGAAUUAAAAAGAAACAAUAUUUACAGAGAUUUAUUUAAUACUCAUCACAUCAAUACAAAUGAAUUUAAGUAAACGAACAUAUUGUAAGAUAAUAUUAAUAAAUUAUGUAAACAAGAAUAUAAAAUAAAUGAUAACACCAGUUA